rnacentral:rRNA from 1 species
UACAGAGGUCCCAAGCGUUGUUCGGAAUUACUGGGCGUAAAGCGCACGUAGGCGGCUUUGUAAGUUAGAGGUGAAAGCCCGGGGCUCAACUCCGGAACUGCCUUUAAGACUGCAUCGCUUGAAUCCGGGAGAGGUGAGUGGAAUUCCGAGUGUAGAGGUGAAAUUCGUAGAUAUUCGGAAGAACACCAGUGGCGAAGGCGGCUCACUGGACCGGUAUUGACGCUGAGGUGCGAAAGCGUGGGGGAGCAAACAGG